GUCUACGACCAUACUAUCCUGAACACGCCCGAUCUUGUCUGAUCUUGGAAGCUAAGCAGGGUAAGGCCUGGUUAGUACCUGGAUGGGAGACCGCCUGGGAAUACCAUGUGCUGUAGGCU
rnacentral:rRNA from 1 species